CUACGUGCCAGCAGCCGCGGUAAUACGGAAGGUCCAGGCGUUAUCCGGAUUUAUUGGGUUUAAAGGGAGCGUAGGCGGAUUGUUAAGUCAGCGGUUAAAGGGUGUGGCUCAACCAUGCAUUGCCGUUGAAACUGGCGAUCUUGAGUGCAGACAGGGAUGCCGGAAUUCGUGGUGUAGCGGUGAAAUGCUUAGAUAUCCUGAAGAACUCCGAUCGCGAAGGCAGCCAUCCGGAGCGUAACUGACGCUGAGGCUCGAAGGUGCGGGUAUCAAACAGGAUUAGAUACCCUGGUAGUCCGCACGGUAAACGAUGAAUACUCGCAGUUCGGUUAUUAUGGUCGAGCUGUCCAGCGAAAGCGUUAAGUAUUCCACCUGGGGAGUACGCCGGCAACGGUGAAACUCAAAGGAAUUGACGGGGGCCCGCACAAGCGGAGGAACAUGUGGUUUAAUUCGAUGAUACGCGAGGAACCUUACCCGGGCU
rnacentral:rRNA from 1 species